GACGAACGCUGGCGGCGUGCCUAAUACAUGCAAGUUGAGCGCUGAAGGUUGGUACUUGUACCAACUGGAUGAGCAGCUAACGGGUGAGUAGCGCGUGGGGAAUCUGCCUUUGAGCGGGGGACAACAUUUGGAAACGAAUGCUAAUACCGCAUAAAAACUUUAAACACAAGUUUUAAGUUUGAAAGAUGCAAUUGCAUCACUCAAAGAUGAUCCCGCGUUGUAUUAGCUAGUUGGUGAGGUAAAGGCUCACCAAGGCGAUGAUACAUAGCCGACCUGAGAGGGUGAUCGGCCACAUUGGGACUGAGACACGGCCCAAACUCCUACGGGAGGCAGCAGUAGGGAAUCUUCGGCAAUGGACGAAAGUCUGACCGAGCAACGCCGCGUGAGUGAAGAAGGUUUUCGGAUCGUAAAACUCUGUUGGUAGAGAAGAACGUUGGUGAGAGUGGAAAGCUCAUCAAGUGACGGUAACUACCCAGAAAGGGACGGCUAACUACGUG
rnacentral:rRNA from 1 species